AAUAUAUGUAUAUGACAGCUUUUGUUGAGCUAUUUAUUAUUAUGCACACGGCAGAUAAGAUGACAGUCAGAGAAUUCCAGCAGCAACCGAAGCAUCUUCAAAUCAGAGCAAAUCAUAAAAACCAAGACCCAAGAUGAACAACAAAAUAUUCACAUGUGCAGCUUUACUUUUGGCACUCACUGUGGCCGAGUCUAACGCCAAUUUGUGGGACGAUAUUACCGAUAAAUUUGACGACAUGGUUGAUUACAUAAAAGACUUAUUCUCUUAGACAAAUUACAAACAGUGCCAAACAUUAACGAAAACAAAUUAAAAACAUGUAAACAAUAAACAAAUAAAGUGAACUACAAUCGUU